CCUACGGGAGGCAGCAGUAAGGAAUAUUGGACAAUGCUCGCAAGAGUGAUCCAGCCAUGCCGCGUGCAGGAAGAAUGCCCUAUGGGUAGUAAACUGCUUUUGAACUAGAGAAAAUCCCAGUACGUGUACUGGGCUGAUAGUAUAGUUAGAAUAAGCAUCGGCUAACUUCGUGCCAGCAGCCGCGGUAAGACGAAGGAUGCAAGCGUUAUCCGGAUUCAUUGGGUUUAAAGGGAGCGUAGGUGGACUGAUAAGUCAGUGGUGAAAUCUCCGAGCUUAACUCGGAAAUUGCCAUUGAUACUGUUGGUCUUGAGUACAGUUGCUGUGGGCGGAAUAUGACAUGUAGUGGUAGAAAUACAUAGAGAUGUCAUAGAACACCGAUUGCGAAGGCAGCUCACAAAGCUGUAACUGACACUGAGGCUCGAAAGUGCGGGGAUCAAACAGGAUUAGAUACCCUGGUAGUCCGCACCGUAGACGAUNUAUACUCGCUGCGUACGGGACGUACGUUAGUGUGUA
rnacentral:rRNA from 1 species